UACGUAGGGUCCGAGCGUUGUCCGGAAUUACUGGGCGUAAAGAGCUCGUAGGUGGUUUGUCGCGUUGUUCGUGAAAACUCACAGCUCAACUGUGGGCGUGCGGGCGAUACGGGCAGACUUGAGUACUGCAGGGGAGACUGGAAUUCCUGGUGUAGCGGUGGAAUGCGCAGAUAUCAGGAGGAACACUGGUGGCGAAGGCGGGUCUCUGGGCAGUAACUGACGCUGAGGAGCGAAAGCGUGGGGAGCGAACAGG
rnacentral:rRNA from 1 species